CUACCGGGGUUUCUAAUCCUGUUUGCUCCCCACGCUUUCGCGCCUCAGCGUCAGUAUCGGGCCAGUGAGUCGCCUUCGCCACUGGUGUUCCGCCGAAUAUCUACGAAUUUCACCUCUACACUCGGCAUUCCACUCACCUCUCCCGAACUCAAGACAUCCAGUAUUAAAGGCUAUUCCAGGGUUGAGCCCUGGGCUUUCACCUCUAACUUAAAUGUCCGCCUACGCGCCCUUUACGCCCAGUAAUUCCGAGCAACGCUAGCCCCCUUCGUAUUACCGCGGCUGCUGGCAC
rnacentral:rRNA from 1 species